rnacentral:lncRNA from 10 species
AGUCAAUGACUCAGGGUAGCCACCGAACAUGAUGCUCGGGCAGUGGGUGCCACCUGGACUCCACUCUCCCCUCUCUCUGGGAUCAUAGAGUCCAAGGUGUUCUGUGGCCUCUCGGCCAAUCCCAGCAGCUCAGCGUGCAGAAGACCGAGGAGCCAUUGGAAUUCAACACAACACGAAAUAAUCAACAAAUUCGGGGAAUGUUAAUCUGACCAUCACCAGUUACAAAUGAUGUUUCAUGCUACCUUCUAUUCCUGCCUUCAUAAAUCAAGGAAAAGAAAAAGAGAACAUAUAUCCCCCUACCUUUUGAUUUCCAACAGUCUACUGAGAGGCCAAGAUUAUUUGCAGGGAAAGAAAAGGGGAAUGCCAUCCCCACCCUCUCGCAGCUACGUGCCAGUUCCAGAGCACCUGUUCCCCUCUACUUUGAAAAGGUCAAAAUGUUUUGCCAGUAACUCCCAAAUCAUCUACAGCCAAGGAGAAAAGUGUUUCAAGACAGAGGUGCUCAAUGGUAUCAAAUACUGCCAACAGACCAAGUAAUACAUGCAUUGAAGUGUCUACUGGAUCUAGCUAUAUGAAUUUUUAAUUUAGGACACUUAGGCCAUACUGAAGCAAGGUGACAAAAUGAAUAGCUACAAUGUCUCGUGAAUCUUGGGUUUCCAUUCACCCUGGUAUUCAAGAGAAAUUCUUGCAUCAUGGAAGUUGCAGUUGGAUAGGACUUUCUCAGCUGAACACUGUCAUCUGCCAGAGCUUCAGGCAAGAACCCAGAACAGAUGAAACCCCAGACAUGACAAAAUAAGCCAAAGAAUACCAGGCCAAGGUGUGAAAGGCCAGAUGAGAACAAGCAGCGUACACGAUUCUGUUGCCAACAGAUCUCCCCUAACAGUGUCGUGCACCAAAUUUCCACAGUGAAUGUCAGGAAAAAAUGGCAAUUGAGGUGGGUGGUCAAAAGAGAAGCACAGUCUAUGAUGAAGUCACCCCAGAGAAGUCCUUUUUCCGUUUUCUCCUGAGAAAUUACCAGAAGAAAUUAAAAUCCUUUUGAGUAUUGCA